GCUGGGCGUGGUGGCUCAUGCCUGUAAUCCCAGCACUUUGGGAGGCUGAGGUGGGUGGAUCACCUGAGGUCAGGAGUUCGAGACCAGCCUGGCCAACAUGGUGAAACCCCAUCUCUA
rfam:Homo sapiens chromosome 9, GRCh38 reference primary assembly.